rnacentral:rRNA from 1 species
GAGACUCUGUGCGCGUGCAUAUCAAUAAGCGGAGGAAAAGAAACUAACAAGGAUUCCCCUAGUAACGGCGAGUGAAGCGGGAAGAGCUCAAUUUGAAAUCUUAAAGGGUUUCCCUUUACGAAUUGUAGUUUAAAGAAGUGUUUUCUGUUGGAGUUUCGGUAAAAGUUCUUUGGAAUAGGACAUCAUAGAGGGUGAGAAUCCCGUAUUUGACCGUUACUUUCCAGCUGUGUGAUACACUUUCAAAGAGUCGGAUUGUUUGGGAAUGCAGUCCAAAAUGGGUGGUAAAUUUCAUCUAAAGCUAAAUAUUGGCGAGAGACCGAUAGCGAACAAGUACCGUGAGGGAAAGAUGAAAAGAACUUUGAAAAGAGAGUUAAACAGUACGUGAAAUUGUCAAAAGGGAAGCGUUUGACACCAGUGUUGUUUAGUUGAAAAUCAAUUCAAUAAUUUUUGAUUUUGAGUAGUAUUGACCUCAUCAGCUUGCUGCUUUCUUUUCAGGAAUUAUUGAAUGCACUUUUCAGUUAACAAGUCAACAUCAAUUUCUUUUGUUGUAAAAGGGUAAGAGGAAGGUGGCUUACGCUUCGGCGUAAGUGUUUAUAGCCUUUUACCUCUGCAAUCGGAGAGAUUGAGGACAGCAGCGUAGACUCUUCGGGGUUAGAUACACUUGUGCUAAGCUAUAGCCUUGUAUAGACAACUUGUUGACUAUGCUCAGUCAUGUAGCUUACUCGCUUAUGUUAUUUUACCUACGCUUAGGAUGUUGAGUCGUAGAGCACGCAG